rnacentral:rRNA from 1 species
GGGUUGUGAGGUUAAGCGACUAAGCGUACACGGUGGAUGCCCUGGCAGUCAGAGGCGAUGAAGGACGUGCUAAUCUGCGAUAAGCGUCGGUAAGGUGAUAUGAACCGUUAUAACCGGCGAUUUCCGAAUGGGGAAACCCAGUGUGAUUCGUCACACUAUCAUUAACUGAAUCCAUAGGUUAAUGAGGCGAACCGGGGGAACUGAAACAUCUAAGUACCCCGAGGAAAAGAAAUCAACCGAGAUUCCCCCAGUAGCGGCGAGCGAACGGGGAGGAGCCCAGAGCCUGAAUCAGUGUGUGUGUUAGUGGAAGCGUCUGGAAAGGCGCGCGAUACAGGGUGACAGCCCCGUACACAAAAAUGCACAUGCUGUGAGCUCGAUGAGUAGGGCGGGACACGUGGUAUCCUGUCUGAAUAUGGGGGGACCAUCCUCCAAGGCUAAAUACUCCUGACUGACCGAUAGUGAACCAGUACCGUGAGGGAAAGGCGAAAAGAACCCCGGCGAGGGGAGUGAAAAAGAACCUGAAACCGUGUACGUACAAGCAGUGGGAGCACAGAGCAAUCUGUGUGACUGCGUA